rnacentral:rRNA from 1 species
UACGUAGGGGGCUAGCGUUGUCCGGAAUCAUUGGGCGUAAAGCGCGUGUAGGCGGUCCGGUAAGUCCGCUGUGAAAGUCGGGGGCUCAACCCUCGGAUGCCGGUGGAUACUGUCGGGCUUGAGUACGGAAGAGGCGAGUGGAAUUCCUGGUGUAGCGGUGAAAUGCGCAGAUAUCAGGAGGAACACCAAUUGCGAAGGCAGCUCGCUGGGACGUUACUGACACUGAGGCGCGAAAGCGUGGGGAGCGAACAGG